rnacentral:lncRNA from 1 species
AAAUAAAUAAAAAAGAAAAACUAAAGUAAAACUUUGUUGGUUGGUACUGAGAUUUCAAAUUUAAAUCCUUCUUGUUUUAUAUUUCUGGUUGAGUUUUUUUUUAAUAAAAAAUGAAUGAAAUGAGUAGGUUUAUCCCACGAGAGAAUUGUAUAAUUUUAGUUAAUAUCUUAUGUGCCUUGAUAGAUCCACAACUCAGAGUAAAUUAUAAUCCUCCAACAUCCUCAUCUAAAAAUAUAUUUCUUUCUCUAUUAAUCUUUUCACUUUAACUUGGUUUUAGUUAUAAAUUUAGCCUUCGUUUAUAAAAAGAUUGCGUUACAUACUGUGAAAAAAUAAGAUAAAAAAAUAUUAUGUUUGUUUUCGUACGUAAUAUUAUAUUUCGCAUAUCGCGAUAAGUCGGUUACAAUAUAUUUUCUGUGAUCAACCAAAGAAUGUAAAAAUAUAUUUUUAUAUAUUUUUAUCACAACUACAUUUUAUUUAAUAGCUUAAAAUGACGUUAGUACCAAACUAACCCUCGACAUUUCUCACCCCUUAUAAUACUGGGGGGGAAUCCGUCCACGCGCAUCGAAUUAGGUCCGCGUCCUCACUUAACCCGAUAAUGAUUCUCCGAGCCUUUUAUUAAUCCCCCACUAAUACAAGCAACCGAAAAAAAAAAUUGAAUUUCCGAGAAAUUCAGCGGGCCCCACUCAUUUUCGCACACGCGUUCGCUUUUCAUUUGAGAGAAGUCCCAAUCGCUGUUUCCUGUUUCGUGAGAGGUCCUCCUUAAUCGUCCGAUUCCCUCCCGCUAAAGCGUGACACAUCGCGCAUUACGUUUUAAGAAAACAACGUUUCUUUUGUUUCUCCGCUCUAAUGUUUAGCUAUUAAUUAACUAGUUAAUUACUUAAUUAAUUAAGUAAUCAUAAUUAAGGAGAAGAAAGCGCUUUGUUUUUUGUUUUUUGGUGUUAUUGUUUAUUG